AUGGCAGGGACGUGGUCGGGGCAGGGGCCGUGGGCCUGGCUGCUGGCUGGGUCCAGCGCAGAGACGGCGGGGAUGUGGUCAGGGCAGGGGCUGGGGGCCCGGUGCUCACUGGGCCCAGCGUGGAGACGGCAGGGACGGGGUCGGGGCAGGGGCCGGGGGCCUGGUGCUCACUGGGCCCAGCGUGGAGACAGCAGGGACGCGGUCAGGGCAGGGGCCGGGGCCUGGUGCUCGCUGGGCCCAGCGUGGAGGCGGUGGGGACACGGUCAGGGCAGGGGCCGGGGGCCCGGUGCUCACUGGGGACGUGGUCAGAGCAGGGGCCAAGGGCCUGGCUGCUGGCUGGGCCCAGCAUGGAGACAGCAGGGACGGGGUGGGGACAGGGGCCGUCGGCCUGGUGCUCGCUGGCCUUUGUGUCUUGUUUCACGCAGGGGUUUUCAGGCAAGCAGAUGCCAAGACGGCGGUGCUCAGAACCAGACGUGCUGCGAGGGAGGGCGGGACUUAGGGUGCCGUGGCACCACAGGUCUCAGCCGUCCCCGGCGCCGUGUGGCUCCCGGGCACACGAGGCUGCGUUUCCUUAGGUGCCAGGCGCCGAGGCUCCUCCUGCAGAGGACAUGCCGCUGCCCAUGGGGGGCGGCAGACACGGACACGCGGGCCGCCGUGGGCCUGCACGGGCGAGCAGAAUUUGCUGGAGGGAUGUGUUGCAUGCCACAAGCGCCCCGUGAUGGAGGAAAAGGACGGAAACAGGCGGAGGUCCCUCCUGGACGCUCUGCUGACCCCAGGGCGCUCGCGGCCCACGGGGCAGGAGUCUCCCCGUUGAGGCGGCUUCCACAACAUUCUCAGGUCACGCAGAACCCACACGUGUGUAGAUCACGGGUGACAGCGGGCUGCACGGACCCCGCCGCCCUCAGGCCUCAUGGCACAGCCCCCUCGGGGGUAGAUGUCGUCAAGUCCACCGGCCCGGGGUGCUGGUGGCCUGCUGCCUCGCGGCUGCCCGUGGAAGGCAGCACGGGGACCACUCCCGGGCGCUCUCAGAGGACACCAGGCCCUUGGUCUCCACCUCUCAUGCAAGCCACGUCCCGCUCCUGA
rnacentral:lncRNA from 1 species